UACGUAGGGUGCAAGCGUUAAUCGGAAUUACUGGGCGUAAAGCGUGCGCAGGCGGCUUUGCAAGACAGAUGUGAAAUCCCCGGGCUUAACCUGGGAACUGCAUUUGUGACUGCACGGCUAGAGUGCGGCAGAGGGGGAUGGAAUUCCGCGUGUAGCAGUGAAAUGCGUAGAUAUGCGGAGGAACACCGAUGGCGAAGGCAAUCCCCUGGGCCUGCACUGACGCUCAGGCACGAAAGCGUGGGGAGCAAACAGG
rnacentral:rRNA from 1 species